CAGCAUUAGCCUGACAUUAGCCCAACCUCUGCACCCUAAUCCCUGGGCAGAGGGCAAACACCUAUUGGAUAUUUUGAUGGGAGCAGCUGCAGAAAUGAUGCCUGAUGCUGGGAGGCAAGGAAAAGCCACAAGAUUCGCUGGCAGCUCAUGCAGGCUGAACAUGGCUCCCCCUCUCUGCCAAAACCACCAGGCCUCCAGAGAUCCAACUCCCACACCACUGUCUCGAAAGCUUAGCUGUCUGUCCCCAUUGGACCUAGGCUGUGUUUGAUGCAGACUGUCGCAGCAGUGUCUUUUAACGUGAUGUGCACGGACAGAAACAGUAAACAUGUAAACAGAAGCUGUGUG